rnacentral:rRNA from 1 species
GACGAACGCUGGCGGCGUGCUUAACACAUGCAAGUCGAACGGGCCUGUCUUCUUUUUUGGGGGGUGGGUUGAGUGGCGAACGGGUGAGUAUCACGUGAGUAACCUGCCCUUCGGUCCUGGAUAACCGCUUGAAAGGGCGGCUAAUACGGGGUGGUCCGGUUGGUCCGCAUGGGCUGGUCGGGAUAGAUUCACUGUUUUUGGUGUUUCGGCGGGGGAUGGGCUCGCGGCCUAUCAGCUUGUUGGUGGGGUGAUGGCCUACCAAGGCGGUGACGGGUAGCCGGCCUGAGAGGGUGGGCGGGCACACUGGGACUGAGAUACGGCCGAGACUCCUGCGGGAGGCAGCAGUGGGGGGUAUUGCACAAUGGGCGGAAGCCUGAUGCAGCGACGUCGCGUGAGGGAUGGAGGCCUUCGGGUUGUGAACCUCUGUUUCCGGUGGUGAAGGCCCUGUCCGUGUGGUGGGGUUGACGGUAGCCGGGGAUGAAGCGCCGGCUAACUACGUG